UACAGAGGGUGCGAGCGUUUAAUCGGAAUUACUGGGCGUAAAGCGCGCGUAGGCGGCUUCGCAAGUCGGGUGUGAAAUCCCCAAGCUCAACUUGGGAACUGCAUUCGAGACUGCGUUGCUAGAGUAUGGGAGAGGGAAGUGGAAUUUCAGGUGUAGCGGUGAAAUGCGUAGAUAUCUGAAGGAACAUCAGUGGCGAAAGCGACUUCCUGGACCAAUACUGACGCUCAUGUGCGAAAGCGUGGGGAGCAAACAGG
rnacentral:rRNA from 1 species